rnacentral:tRNA from 1 species
AAUGAGGCUAAUAGCAGUUCAUUCGUAAUGAACAGGUCGUCGGUUCGAUUCCGACCAUU